UCUGAAGGCAUUAUCCUACUGUUUACCAUUACACACAAUCCUUUGCCUUAAAUUGCAUCUUUGAUUAAAGCAGCAAUGAGAGAAACCAGCACUAAUAACAAAAUGUAUUCUGCUUUAAAUCACUAAAGUGAAAACAUCAAUAAGCUGUAACCAUCAGUGCCGCCAUGAAAAUGAAGGCAACCACCAUGGGAAACAGCAAGGAUGAAAUCCACUUUGCCAGCAUAAAAGCCAAGUAAUUAGGUCUUAUGUGGGUGGAACUUAUAAUGAGGUGCAGGAGGGGGAAAAUGAAUUUCAACCCAAGCCUGCAUCCUCCUUCCCCCCCGCCAGAGCUGCUGAUCUAAGUUUGGGGGCUGCAGUAGGGUCGGCAGUCCAGUUUCUCAGCUCCAUGGGGCCCGCAAAGCAGCGCUGGCAUCUCCACCUCUACCUGUACCCAUCACCUGGCCCUCGUGGGGCUGCAGAGCAGCCCUGCCCCACACACUGUCAGUGUUUUGUACCCAUGGUACCAACUUGGAUUUCACUGGAGGAGAGGGCUGCGCUUCCAAGGAGCACAUUUGGCUUGGAGCAAGCUCAAGCUGAUAUAUUGUAUCAGCUCAAGAAACUUAUUUUCACAAUGAAAAGAAAAAAAAAGGGAAUCUGGUCUGGUUAUUGUGGAUUCAUCAGUUUGUGGAUGGGGAUAUAAAACGAAUUUAUACCCAGUGAGUUAUUUGAAUCAAAGCCCUGUGCUCCUCUGCAGCUGUCCGUCCCCCGAGGAACUGUUACUGGAGCCGUGCUGCUCCCGAUUGCUUGCCUGUGAAAGUUGUGAUACAUCAGCAAACUUCAGAUCCUCUUCCCACAUACUCUUACUUUGGGUAGAGCCUUUCAGUUACUCAGUGUUGCAGUCACCCUCCGGUUCACUGAAGCCAGGAGUACAUUUUCAGGAGCUGUCUACCCAGUGCUAAAGCAGGAGAAAUUAUUCAUAGCUUACUCUUCCAUGCUUUUAAAGUGCAAAUAAAGCAGGCAACUUCAGCGCUGGGUUUUCUAACGUUCCCUGACAUCUCCACAGCAGAUCAAGGUGCUCGCCUGCCCUUGCGCCUGCGACAUGGGCUGGAAGUCUCCAGAAAGGGCUUUUCCUGAAUUUCUUAAUAACUUGUCUUUCUGCCUUUCUUUAAGGAUGCUUCCCCGUGCUCAGACCGAGGCUGACUGCCGAGCUGGCUGCAGUUCUGCCUCCCGCCGGUGCUUGUGGGCUGCGGGCUGUAGCUGCCGUCGGGAUGUGGCUAACAGGCAGCCUCAGGUUCAGUUUCGGGUUUGUUUGCAGCUCAGAUUUAUCCCAAAGCUUGUCAGAGGCUGCCACACGGUUUGGUGCCUUUUCCUCUGCUGGUUUCCACACCCCCCCGCCCGCUUGGUUACAUCUCUAGAACGAGCAUUCGGUUUCCCGAGGGGUCACACUCCAGUUAGCAGCCGGGUAGGAUUCCCGGUUGUUAUGUGGGAUACAGCGCGGGCACCUGCACAAGCAAAGCAGGGAGGACACCCCGUGUGCCCGGCAGCAGGACAGGCAGCUCCGGCCGCUGCCGUGAGGUCAGCCUGCCUAAGCCCCAGCCGGGCAUGGGCACUCUACCUCCGAAGGGCCUCCUGGGCCGCGGCCCGCUCCCACACACCCCAAAGCGGGUAGGUAAGCGGGUAGCAGGUAAGCCCGGCGCUGCGGGGCAUUGGCCGGGGGGGGGUGUGCACCCCUCGUCGGUGCGGGCAGGGGGCAUCUCCCGCGCGACCGCACUGCGUCCGGCAGUGACGGGGCCUCCGGGCGCUGCCGGGCCGGGCCGGGCCGGGCCGGGCCGCCCGCGCACCCCCUCAGCCCCGCGCCCCC
ensembl:lncRNA